rnacentral:tRNA from 1 species
GGAGAGGUGCCAGAGCGGUUUAUCGGGCACGCUUGGAAAGCGUGUGUGCCUUUGCGGGUACCGCGGGUUCGAAUCCCGCUCUCUCCGCCA